CUAAAAUUAAAAAAUUGGUUAACACGACCACUCGUGGUGGCUUCACUCAGAGGUUGGAGAAGACAACCGGUGGACUAAACAUCAAGCCUCUGCACGAUUCAGAAUUAAGACAACCUUAGCAGGAGAGCCCCAGCAGUAACUUUCUCUCAAGCAGAUGAGCAAUAAGUUGCUUUGUAUGAACACCACCCUAACAAUCAAGUAGCCUGUUAACAGUAGACCAAAGGUAUGAUGAUCAAUUAUAAAUGCAAUAUGGUUGAAAGGUCAGUAAACAAACAACAAAAAGGUAAUUUCUUAAUAGAAUGUCUAUACAUUUUUUGCUUUUGUUACAUAUUUCAUACAUCAAAAUCAUUAAACGUUAAUAAUUAUGUAUUCCAACUUGUUGCAGCUUGACAAAAAUGUAGCUUGAAGGAGAAGGGACAGCUGAGUAACAAAGUCCUGGUAUGCAGACGACGAUACUAUUACACUGACAAGAGUGUAAUGAUGAUGGAGACACAAGCCAGAGAAAGGGGGGACCAAACACCAGGCCAGAAUUCUGCAUGAGUCAGAUCCAGUGGGUGCAGAUCAUCAUACAGAUGGUUCAAGUGUGGAUCCACCUAAUAUUCAAGAUUUUCUGUCCUGGGACACUCGGCUAACCAUCAAGAAAGAACACACUCCAGUGGGCAUCCUUUAUCCAUCCAGACCCUCAUACAGAUGGUUGGAGUUUUGAUUCACCUAAAGUACCAUGCAAGAGCACUCAUUUUCCCUCUUGAGACCAUGGUGUGACCUGCAAGGUCGAAUGGAGACUGUAAGCGAGACAAUCUUGGAGUCACCUGCAUUCACUGGUCCAGUUGUUAGUCCAAUUACAGAUGGAGAUUAUAGAAGAGGAUGAUGUCUUUUCUCCAACAUCUUUCUAGACUGAUAAAAGAUCUAGACAGGCUUGAACAAAAGUUAACAGAGGGGCUUAUAUAGAGAAUGGUGAGCAGCUACACAUAAAAGAAGAACAUGGAGAAUCUGCCCAGAGGUGUUAACCAGCAAUGCAGCUAUACAACUAAAGUGAUGCAGGCGGAAACAAUGUGUAAUGCAGCUGCUGCAGAUGAAGAAUCCGUCCGUCUACCACUGAAGGAGACGCGGAAAAUCGGGAAAAGAUGUUCUUUGCCCGAGGAAGCAUUUGAUUAAUUUAAAGAUAUUGUGUUUCUUUGUAUGUUAUAGAAAAACGUUGCUUUUUUGCAUACACUCGUGUAAAUAUGCAUCUUAUGAAUGUUUUCCUUUGUCUAAUUUUAAUAAAUUUUACGCAAUCAA